rnacentral:rRNA from 1 species
AUUGAACGCUGGCGGCAGGCCUAACACAUGCAAGUCGAGCGAGCGGCGGACGGGUGAGUAAUGUAUGGGAAACUGCCUGAUGGAGGGGGAUAACUACUGGAAACGGUAGCUAAUACCGCAUACCAUCAGAUGAUCCCAGAUGGGAUUAGCUAGUAGGUGGGGUAACGGCUCACCUAGGCGACGAUCCCUAGCUGGUCUGAGAGGAUGACCAGCAACACUGGAACUGAGACACGGCCCAGACUCCUACGGGAGGCAGCAGUGGGGAAUAUUGCACAAUGGGCGCAAGCCUGAUGCAGCCAUGCCGCGUGUAUGAAGAAGGCCUUCGGGUUGUAAAGUACUUUCAGCGGGGAGGCGUUACCCGCAGAAGAAGCACCGGCUAACUCCGUGCCAGCAGCCGCGGUAAUUC